rnacentral:lncRNA from 1 species
GCCAAAAUUGGAAUAAAAAAAUUGACCUGUGCAGCCAUUGGGAUGAUAAGGAUUUCCUUCAAAACCUUGAUUGCAAUGGCAUCGCGGUAACCAAAAUAUGUGUCCUUGUCAUCACAAUAGCUAUUCUUCUUGCACCCAUAGUUGACUCCAUUCUUCUUGGAAGAAGCAGUACUGCAGUUUUCCUUGCUAAUGGUCCAGUCAAGAACCACCGGUAAUCUCUUGAAGGUAAACCUUGUGAUAAAUGAGUGGAUGAAAAAUCAUAGCUACCAUUCCUAACAACAAAUGAAUAGCUACAAAAUUUGGAUGAAGUGUUGAAAUUAGAAGCUUGUAUGCUUACAUUCCUCAUUUUAGGAUGAAUAUCAAUUUGGCAACACCCUACACCCGAACAUUUUCCAUCAUUUAUUUGAUCACCAAAAGUUCUUGUUAAGCACCCUGUUGAAUAUGCAAUAUCGUUACCACUGUAACUAUUAAAAUAACCGUAACUGUUACCAACGGUUACAAAUUUGUUUUCUUUGCUUGAAAUGGUAUAUGUACCACUGUUAAGCCCAACUUUAGUAUAAGUAUAAUUAUCAACACUGCAGUACUCAGAGACGUAAAAUAACACGUCGAUUUCAGCUUUGGUGGUGUUUAUGUUUGACACUUCCAAGUUAUCACCCAUGUAUAUUUUGGAUUCAUUGCAAUGGAGCUGAAUUAAUCUUCCGCCCACAAAACAAUCUGAAUUUGACGAAGUGUCGUUUAUGCCAAAUGGAUAUGGAAUUUCUUUAUCUCCACAAGUGUGACUGCAGGUAUUUAAUGGUGUUGAAUCAGCUGCAACUGUUCCUACCAAAUUCACCAUGGUUAAUGAAAGGAAAAUUUGUGAAGCGUGUCACGAUUUCGCAAUGCCGUGAGUUGUUUUGCAGAUUGUCCAAUGGUGACACGAUUUUGGGAAAACAUAACACGAUUUUUGGCUUGCUGAGUACAUUUUUCAAGAUAAGGUUGGUCAUACCUUGGGUUGUACGCACCAAACGUGUCACGAUUUGCGAAAACGUGACACGAUUUUGACAGCUGAAGACUCCUAUAUAAGUAUUCUUUGCAGAUUUUGAAUGAGAGAUUGAAGAGAGAGAAACUUGGGAAAUCAAAGGAGAUAACUUUAAGGUUGAGGGUCUUUGAUUAGAGUUCUCUUGGAUUGGGAAACAUUGUAAACACCUUGGGUGAGUGAAAAUCAUUGAGUGUCUUGUUCAUUGGUGAGAUUGGGAAAAUGGGUAGAAAUUAGGGUUGUUCUUUGUGAAUCUAUUGAAGCUAAAUUCUUGUAACUCAUUUGUAUCUCUUUGUAAGAACUCAUUGAUAGUGGAUUGGAGAGAUCAAUCUCUCCACCAGAUUAGGUCAAAUUGGACCAAACAAUCUUUGGUGUGUUUGUUUAUUUUCUCUCUUUAUCUUUUGCUUGUAGUUUUGUG